rnacentral:lncRNA from 1 species
UAAAUAGGACUUCAGGAAAUAAGAAUUUGUGAAACAGUAAGUCGUAUUCUUCCUCCAAUGAGCAAACAAAAAACCCCCCAAAAUCAGAUUCAUUGUCAAAUGUUCAAGUAAUAGAUAAUUGACAUAUAAAAAUUCCUUCAGGAAGCAGAAAAACAUUAAUCUUAUCUAUUUCAUUUUAAGAAGUUGAUACAUAUUUGAUAAAGUGGAAAAAUGCAGCAUGAUAUUUUUAUUAACCUCUUGUAGCACCUGUAUUAAGCAUUAUUAACUCAUUUUAAUCCUGUCAACCAGCGGAAGUAGGUACAGUUAUUGUUCCCAUUUUGUAUGUGAAGAAUGGAAAUAAAAAAAUUCAGUAAUUUUUCUAAGAUAAACAGAGGGAGUAGUUGGUAGAGCAUGAACUGAAAUCUAAACAAGAUGACUUUAGAAUUCAUGCUUUUAAGUUUUAGAUGAGGCGCCCUCAAAGAGAAACUACAGAGCAAUUUCACUUAUGAUUAAAUGCACAAAUAACUUUAAAUUAUAUUGCCUUAACACAUCUAGUAAUGUAUUAAGAGAAAACACUUCAUGAUUAAAUUUGGGAUAGUCUAGUUAUUUCUAGUAGUAUUUCAUGUUUGAAAUAUUAGUUAAUAUAAUACACAAAUUAUAUUAAAUGAGAAAAAACAUAUAUCCAUCUUCUAUGUGGAAAAGAUCUUUUAUAUCAUGAAGUAUUUAUUCAUGAUGAACAAAACAUAAAACUAAGUAAAUUUAGAGUGAACUGGAAAAAUUGCUCCUAAAAUCUUAGCAAUUAUAACACUUAUUUUGUGAAAGGUAGAAAUGUUUUCUUUUAAAUCAGAAAAAUGAUGGGAAUGCCGGCUGUGGACAUUUUUAUUCAACAUUGUGCUUGAGGCCCUAAGCAGGGCUGGAACACAAUAAAAAUAAUGAAAGUUGUAAGUUUUCGAAAGUAAGAAACAAAAUUGUCAAUAUCUUCACUCAGUAUGUUUGUAUUUGUACCAGAAAACUUAAAAGAGAAAAACUCGGAAUUAAUGUGAGUUCAGCAAGGUAGCCAUAUAUGAGAUCAUAAAUUUAUCAUGUUCUUAUCCACAGUAACAACAAAUAAGACAACAUUGUAAGAACAAUAAAAACUGUAAAGCACUGGAUAAUAAAUAUAAAGAAAGUGUGUAAAAUGUCUAAGCAUAAAUUGUAAUGUCUUAUUGAAAAGUGUUAAAUAAUUAAAUAUAGAGGUAUUUAUAUCCAUGCCUAAAAAGACUUACCAUUACAAUAGGGUAAUUUAAUACUAAUUGCUGCCUGAAUUUAAUGCCUUGGCAAUCAAGAUCCCUUCAUGUGUUUUAUGGAAUUGACAAGUGGGUUAUAUCAUGUACAAGGUGUCAAUUCCACUUAGAAGGGUCAAAAACUACUAAGAAAAGAUUUAAGAAAAAGAAUAAGCUUGAGGGUAUUUGCCACACAGAUCUCAGAAAUAAUGUAAUGGUGUUUGUGUUGGGAGAUAGGUAAAUUGACUAAUGGAAAAAAAUAGAGAAAACACAUAUUAAACUUUGCUUUAGGAUAGAUGUGGCAACACAGAUCAAUGAGGGAAAGUAUAGCUCUUACAUUGAUGAUGAUGGCAGAAUUGAUUAUUCGUAUGAGACAAAUAAAAUAUAUGCUCACCUUCUACCAUGCCUGGAAACCAGUUCUAGGGGAAAUGAAAAUCUAAUCAGGAUAAGCAAAAUGUUAAAAUUAGAAACAUCUGUUUUCUAAAAGACAGUAUUAAAAUAAGCAACAUAGUAAUCCCAUGGUCCAUGGUCCAGGAGAGAAUAAUUAUAAGAUACGCAAAUGCCUAGCAAUAAAACCUAAAAUCUGAGAAUUAAAAAAAAAAAAACUUCAAACAGGAUUUGUGCGGGGAGCCGAGAAGAUGCACGGACUCAAAAAAAGGACCUUGCCUGAUGGCGGAAAAACCUGAAGGCAGGUUCCUAACCAAGGAAGGGAGCUCACCUGAACGGUACAAGCCGAAGGUGGGCUUCUGGGCAGGAUAAAAGCUCACCUGAACGGUACAAGCCGAAGGUGGGCUUCUGGUUAGGAUAAAAAGCUCACCUGAAUGGUACAUGCUGAAGGUGGGCCUCUGGUCAGGAUGAAAGCCUGCCUGUACGGUACAGGCUGAGGGCAGGCCUCAGGUUACACAGCUCUCAUUUUGAUGUUUAUGGGGAAGAAUUGGGGCUUUCCUGGGAAAACCAGUUCCAUGUUUGUGCUGGAGAACAUGGAUUGUUUCUCGGGUGACCUAGUCUUUCCUGUUGUUUUAUUUGUUAUUCAGUUUUCCUCAGUCUUUCCUGAUUAUUUACUUAUUCUUAUUUUCCAUUCUUAUUUUCCUGUGGUGAUUUGUGAUUUAACAAAAUUGCAACAAUAAUAUAAUAAGAAUUUCAUCCUGAAGGACUUUCCCCUAUUUAAAUCCAACUUAAUUAAAAUAUAGUGUUUAUCUACUAACUAGUUAUACAGUAAACUUUAGAGUUAGGAUUUUAAUGAGGUUUAUAGAAGUUAGACAUAUAUUAUUCUUGAUCAAAAGAAACCCAGCUGUGAGUCUUGUCCUUGAUUUUAGAAACUUUUAGUGGUAGCUGGCUAAGUUAAUUUGUAUUUUCUUAUACUGUCUCCCUGCCAAGGAUGCUUUAAAGAUAGACAUUAGUCUGAAGACAGGAUUUUUUGUGUUUGUAACUUCUUCAGCUUGUGGGAAUUGGCUGGCCGUGAGAUGGUUUAUACUGGGUCUCCUCUUUCCCACAUGAUAUGCUGCACCUGUUUGUCCUUGAAUUGUACUCAUUAAGUUGAAGAUUUUAAAAUGUGAUGUAUUGCUACUGUACCAUGUGAUCAAAAAACAAAGCCUAAUAGUUAACCAAUGUACUUUUAACACUAUGAUGUAAUCUGUAGGGAAAAACUGUCUAUAUAAUCAACCACUUAUGCCAAUAAAAUUUGAGCAGUCCAGCGCCCUGAAAGAAGGGACAAAGAGGCUGUCUCCGUAUGUACAUUCGCCGAUGCCACGUCCCUCUCCUAUCGGGAAAAGGUGUACACUCCCUGGCCGCCAGAGCUGGCCUCCAGCAGAUUUGAAUAUCAAAAUGGGCAAAAGCUAUAGAACAGCAACUUAUCAGAAGAAAAUUAUUAAAUAUAGCUAUAGACAUAGAUACGGAUUUAUGCAUCUAUGAGCACAUACACUCAAUUUACUAUAGUACUUAUUUUGGAGGAGAUAGGAUGAGGUCAAAAGGAGAAAUACAAAAUUUUACAUAUAUAAGUAAUAUUUUUAAGUGACUGCUGGUCACAUGGUGUUCAUUACGUUACUUGCAUGUGUAUUUCAUUUAACUGAAACAUUUUGUCAUAAAUUUUUUAAUAUAAAGGAUAUUGAAUAAAAGUGUUAAAAAUGUUGAGUGAUACCCUUGACCACAGAGACUCUAUUUUGAUAAAUUUUUAUUUCCAGACCCUGGUAUGAAAAGUCAUUCAGAUAUUUGCACAUCUGAGCCUGUGAAAGAUUAAUAGUUAUAUGAAGUACUAU